rnacentral:rRNA from 1 species
AUGAGUUGUAUUAGUUGGAACUGCUGGGGGCUUGGGAACCCCGAGACAGUUCGAGAACUUUGCAGUAUUGUGAUGUUGGAAGGCCCCGCUUUGCUCUUUGUAAUGGAAACAAAAAUUUGAGCUAAAAGAGUAGAGGAUUUGCGAAAUAGUUUGGGUUUUGCUGGUAGCUUUGCUGUAGACAGUGCAGGCCUCAGUGGCGGCAUUGGUCUGUUUUGGUCACAUGAUGUGUCAGUUGAACUUUAA